rnacentral:rRNA from 1 species
AUUGAACGCUGGCGGCAUGCCUUACACAUGCAAGUCGAACGGCAGCACGGAGCUUGCUCUGGUGGCGAGUGGCGAACGGGUGAGUAAUAUAUCGGAACGUACCCAAGAGUGGGGGAUAACGUAGCGAAAGUUACGCUAAUACCGCAUACGAUCUAAGGAUGAAAGUGGGGGAUCGCAAGACCUCAUGCUCUUGGAGCGGCCGAUAUCUGAUUAGCUAGUUGGUGAGGUAAAGGCUCACCAAGGCAUCGAUCAGUAGCGGGUCUGAGAGGACGACCAGCCACACUGGAACUGAGACACGGUCCAGACUCCUACGGGAGGCAGCAGUGGGGAAUUUUGGACAAUGGGGGCAACCCUGAUCCAGCAAUGCCGCGUGAGUGAAGAAGGCCUUCGGGUUGUAAAGCUCUUUUGUCAGGGAAGGAACGGUGAAGGCUAAUAUCCUUUGCUAAUGACGGUACCUGAAGAAUAAGCACCGGCUAACUACGUGCCAGCCGCCGCCGUAA